rnacentral:rRNA from 1 species
AAAUUGAAGAGUUUGAUCAUGGCUCAGAUUGAACGCUGGCGGCAGGCCUAACACAUGCAAGUCGAACGGUAACAGGAAGCAGCUUGCUGCUUUGCUGACGAGUGGCGGACGGGUGAGUAAUGUCUGGGAAACUGCCUGAUGGAGGGGGGAUAACUACUGGAAACGGUGGCUAAUACCGCAUAACGUCGCAAGACCAAAGAGGGGGACCUUCGGGCCUCUUGCCAUCAGAUGUGCCCAGAUGGGAUUAGCUUGUUGGUGAGGUAACGGCUCACCAAGGCGACGAUCCCUAGCUGGUCUGAGAGGAUGACCAGCCACACUGGAACUGAGACACGGUCCAGACUCCUACGGGAGGCAGCAGUGGGGAAUAUUGCACAAUGGGCGCAAGCCUGAUGCAGCCAUGCCGCGUGUAUGAAGAAGGCCUUCGGGUUGUAAAGUACUUUCAGCGGGGAGGAAGGUGUUGUGGUUAAUAACCGCAGCAAUUGACGUUACCCGCAGAAGAAGCACCGGCUAACUCCGUGCCAGCAGCCGCGGUAAUACGGAGGGUGCAAGCGUUAAUCGGAAUUACUGGGCGUAAAGCGCACGCAGGCGGUCUGUCAAGUCGGAUGUGAAAUCCCCGGGCUCAACCUGGGAACUGCAUUCGAAACUGGCAGGCUUGAGUCUUGUAGAGGGGGGUAGAAUUCCAGGUGUAGCGGUGAAAUGCGUAGAGAUCUGGAGGAAUACCGGUGGCGAAGGCGGCCCCCCUGGACAAAGACUGACGCUCAGGUGCGAAAGCGUGGGGAGCAAACAGGAUUAGAUACCCUGGUAGUCCACGCCGUAAACGAUGUCUACUUGGAGGUUGUGCCCUUGAGGCGUGGCUUCCGGAGCUAACGCGUUAAGUAGACCGCCUGGGGAGUACGGCCGCAAGGUUAAAACUCAAAUGAAUUGACGGGGGCCCGCACAAGCGGUGGAGCAUGUGGUUUAAUUCGAUGCAACGCGAAGAACCUUACCUGGUCUUGACAUCCACAGAAGAAUCCAGAGAUGGAUUUGUGCCUUCGGGAACUGUGAGACAGGUGCUGCAUGGCUGUCGUCAGCUCGUGUUGUGAAAUGUUGGGUUAAGUCCCGCAACGAGCGCAACCCUUAUCCUUUGUUGCCAGCGGUCCGGCCGGGAACUCAAAGGAGACUGCCAGUGAUAAACUGGAGGAAGGUGGGGAUGACGUCAAGUCAUCAUGGCCCUUACGACCAGGGCUACACACGUGCUACAAUGGCGCAUACAAAGAGAAGCGACCUCGCGAGAGCAAGCGGACCUCAUAAAGUGCGUCGUAGUCCGGAUUGGAGUCUGCAACUCGACUCCAUGAAGUCGGAAUCGCUAGUAAUCGUGGAUCAGAAUGCCACGGUGAAUACGUUCCCGGGCCUUGUACACACCGCCCGUCACACCAUGGGAGUGGGUUGCAAAAGAAGUAGGUAGCUUAACCUUCGGGAGGGCGCUUACCACUUUGUGAUUCAUGACUGGGGUGAAGUCGUAACAAGGUAACCGUAGGGGAACCUGCGGUUGGAUCACCUCCUUA